UUCGAGUCGUUGAUUUCACACUGCCGAGAAAAGCCUCUAGAUAGAAAAUAGGUGCCCGUACCGCAAACCGACACAGGUAGUCAAGAUGAGAAUUCUAAGGUGAGCGAGCGAACUCUCGUUAAGGAACUCGGCAAAAUGACCCCGUAACUUCGGGAGAAGGGGUGCUCUUUAGGGUUAACGCCCAGAAGAGCCGCAGUGAAUAGGCCCAAGCGACUGUUUAUCAAAAACACAGGUCUCUGCUAAACCGUAAGGUGAUGUAUAGGGGCUGACGCCUGCCCGGUGCUGGAAGGUUAAGAGGAGUGGUUAGCUUCUGCGAAGCUACGAAUCGAAGCCCCAGUAAACGGCGGCCGUAACUAUAACGGUCCUAAGGUAGCGAAAUUCCUUGUCGGGUAAGUUCCGACCCGCACGAAAGGCGUAACGAUUUGGGCACUGUCUCAACG
rnacentral:rRNA from 1 species